AACGAACGCUGGCGGCAUGCUUAACACAUGCAAGUCGCACGAGAAGUAAUUCUAGUGGCGCACGGGUGAGUAACACGUGGGAAUCUGCCCUAAAGUCGUGGAUAACUACUGGAAACGGUAGCUAAUACAGGAUGUGCUGGAAACAGUAAAGUAGCAAUAUGCUUUAGGAUGAGCCCGCGGUUGAUUAGCUAGUUGGUAAGGUAAGAGCUUACCAAGGCAAUGAUCAAUAGCUGUUCUGAGAGGAAGAUCAGCCACACUGGGACUGAUACACGGCCCGGUCUCCUCCGGGAGGCAGCAGUGGGGAAUUUUGGACAAUGGGGGCAACCCUGAUCCAGCAAUGCCGCGUGAGUGAAGAAGGCCUUCGGGUUGUAAAGCUCUUUUACCGAUGAAGAUGAUGACGGUAGUCGGAGAAUAAGUUCCGGCAAACUUCGAGCCAGCAGCCGCCGUAA
rnacentral:rRNA from 1 species